AGUUGUUCGUGGGGAAGUUUGUGAGCAAGUACCAGAAUGUGAUUCCUGAAGUCGUUGAAGCACGUCAAGGCAAUAUACAAUUUCAAGGGUUUCCUUUUAAUUUAAGAACAUGAAUGGUUGCAUUAGUUGGGGAAUUUAAGAACAGCUUCACUAUCAUGUAUUACAACAAGUGCAUGACAAAUAGUUAUUGGGAGCUUAUAUGGAAGUUGUAUGGAGUAGCGACAGUGGCAUUAUAAAAUAUAGCUCAGGAGAAGUUCCCCUAGCAUCCAUUAGUCCUAAGCGGGUUUUUUUUUCCCUUAAAGUAACCAAGGCAUUUUGUAGACGUUUGCUUUUUAUGCUCUAAGAUUGAUUUAUUUCAAUUUGUGCAAUUUAAGCAUCAUUUUCUUGUUCUUCUACAAUGAUGUCUGGACAAUUCAAUUUGUUUCCUCCUAAUCUUUUUUUAUUUUUAUUUAUUUAUUUACUGGUUCUUUAUUUUGUAUUCACUUAUAUGAACUGUAAUUUUGUUCUUGUUGUGUGCUUUCACUUUCACUGCAUAGCACAUUUACAAAGCUGUCAUUUUCUCAAAUAGAUGUUGUGUGGUGCCUGUUUCAGGGGCUUUAGCUCAGCCCCAUUGCAUAGGCGUCACCUGCAUCUAUCCACUAGAAAGGUAUGAUAAGAGUGUGGGCAUCCUUUAAUGGCAUUCUCCCAACCAUCUGGAUUUUUUGAGCCUUUGCAUCUGGAUCUAUUUAGGGGGAUAUAAUUCUUGUAUUCGUAGUGAAACAAAAGUUUCGAGGAGAGUUUUGUGACCAAUAAUCAUGACAUGAUAGAGUUGCAUUAUUAUGAAUAACCAGUUUGUUUUUCUGAGUUUCACACUGCUGGUUAGCAGGAAUCUUUUUGUGACAUUAUUUUGCAGUGGUAAUAUGUAUUAAAUCAGUGGUCACAAAAAAAAAUUGCUAAAAGUUAAGUCUAGUUUUUCCCUCCACUCAGCUGCACGGGCAAGUAAGAUAUCGGUUCAUUUUCUGUUCGGCCUGUUUUAUUUUACUCUUAGGAUGUGUUCGGCAGCAUGGAAUUGGAGCAUUGGAACAAACAAAGCCUCGUAAUGAUGCAUGAGAGGAAGCCACUAAUAGAUGAUGAUGUGACGAGGAAGAUACCAAUAGGAACCAUACAUACAGGUGGAGAGCAUAUUUCGAUUGACUGUGAUUGAAGGGGGAUAGCAUAUUUUUGUUGAAGAGGAUUGAAUGGGUUUUAUGCUUCUUUUCUUUUUUUUUUGUUUAGUUGAAUGGGUAAGCUUUGAAUCAAUUAAAUAAGGAAAAAUAGGAAUAUACAAGAGGUCCUAUAAGGACUAAACACAUAACAAAUCAGUGUAAAACUGAAGCAAAAGACAGCAGGGAGCAAAAUAAAGGAUCUUUAUUCCUUCCAUAGCAACCACAGAUCAGCUUCUUCAAAUCUUCAGCAUUUCCAUCCUCAUCAACAAUGCACAUUGCAUGUGCCACAACAUUCACUACUCAUCAAGGAACAACAACAUUAAGAUUAUUAUGAUAUCAAAACACACACAGCAGAGAAUCAAUCAGAUAAAGCCCAAGAUUGGCACCCUGCAAAGGCACAACCUUGAAUGAAAAGAUGAUCAAGGUCCUCCAUGCAUCCCAUAUCUUUCAGAUCAGUACUUCUCUUCAACUUCAAGGAGGAAAUUCUUCCUCUUACAUUGCCUUUGAUAAGGCAUAGAGUAUGCCUUGCAUCAAUAGAUUUAUUAUUUCUAAAUGCUCUGGCAUUUCUUUCCUGCUAGAUGAAGUAGAUAGCAGCAGAAAAAAGAAGUUUGUGAAGCAGAAAUUCCUUUGAACCCCAAUUAGAUGAACACCAUUCAAUGAGGUCUUUCCAGCAAUUAGAGAGUAUAAAGAAUCCAGCAACAUGCUGUAUGAAUCUCCAAAUGUAGUUACUGAAUUUUCAUUUGAAGAAGAGGUGAUCCAAAGACGAAUCACUUUCCACGAGGCACAAGUAACAAGCAUUUGUGUAGUGUUUGAUUAGCAUUGGCUUGGAAUCCAAAGUGUAAAGCCUGCUUCUGGCAGCUAACCAAGCAAUGUGGCCAUGCUUGGGAAUAUAGUUCUUAAACCAAACAAUUUUAUGCCAUACAAAUGUUAUUGAAGGGGGAGUGAAGGCCCUCAAUGUAUGAGAGAGAGAGAGUUUUGUUUGGACUAAGUUUCCAUUCAAUCAAGUCUGGCUCACUCUGUGAAGCAUGGAUGAUGUUGAGUUGAUUCAUGAACAACUGGGAUUGAAAGAACUGCAGGUAUUGGAUUGUGGGAAAUUAGGCUAUCAACUGUGGCAUGAAUAUUGUCCACUUGAAGAAUUUCCAACUCAGUGAGACCAAGUUGUGUGACAAUAGGACCAUUAGGUAGCCAGAAAUCUAACCACAUCUUCGUAUCCUUGCCUGAGCCAAUCUUGUGUCUAAUCAACCCUCUUACCAUGCAUCUUAAUUUAAGUAACUUCUUCCAAAAUCCAGAACUGAGAGUGGAGGAUCUGGCUGUCCAAAUGCUCCUUGCUUUGAUGAGGUAUCUGAAUGUCCAUGCCACCCAUUAACUUUCCUUUCUGAUGCAAAGCUUCCACAAAUACCUAAGAUUAGCAACAAGAUUAGACAUUUCCAAACAUGGAAACCCUAGCCCACAGUACGACCUUGGCCUGCAAAUAGAAAUCCAGGCCACCUUGGCACCUGACUUGUUCAAUUCUAUCCCUGACCAGUAGAACCUCAUGAGAAUUUGAUUAAUUUGCUCAAACACUUUCUUAGGUAACACAAAGGUAUGGGACCAAUAAGCUUUCAUAGAGUAAAAAAUGGCCUUAAUCAACACUGUCCCGCCAGCAUAUGAGAGGAACCUAUAAGUCCAUCUACUAAUGUUUGAAGUAAUCUUCUCCACUAGAGUUUGACUGUCUCUAGCACAAAUGGUGGAGGAAGAGAGAGGUAAUCGAAGGUAAGUAAUAGGUAAUGUCCAGCAUUAAUUUGAUGGAGGGCAAGUAUGGUUGCCUUGGUUAAUUGAAAGCCCAGAAUAAGUGAAGGAAUUGUUAGGAGCACCAAAAAGUACUAGGACAGAAGGGAGAUUUCCAUAAGAGAACAGUAGAAUGUCAUCAGCAAAAGCCAAAUGUGUAAUGUCUAAUUUGCUGCAUCUCCUGUGGAACCUGAAACUGUUUGAAGCACUGAUAGAGCUCUUGAUUGAGAGAGAAAGUACUUCCAUGGCAAGGACAAAAAGCAAGGGAGAUAGUGGAUCCCCUUGCCUUAGACCUCUCUUUCCUUUGAAGAAUCCAAACAAUUCACCGCUGAGUGAGAUAGAAUAAGAUGGUGUAGAGAUGCAUUGUGUUAAUUCAGUCUCUCCAUUGCUUUUAUAUAUUGGAUUCUUCAUUGACGUCGGAUUGAAUGUCUUUUUAUACAUUAUUUUUU